CCUACGGGAGGCAGCAGUGGGGGAUAUUGCACAAUGGGGGGAACCCUGAUGCAGCGACGCAGCGUGGGUGAAGAAGCGCCUCGGCGCGUAAAGCCCUGUCAGCAGGGAAGAAAAUGACGGUACCUGAAGAAGAAGCCCCGGCUAACUACGUGCCAGCAGCCGCGGUCAUACGUAGGGGGCAAGCGUUAUCCGGAUUUACUGGGUGUAAUGGGGGCGCAGACGGCGCUGCAAGACAGGAGGGAAAGGCCGGGGCGCAACCCCGAGACUGCACGUGGAACUGCGUGGCUGGAGUGCAGGAGGGGAAGGCGGAAGUCGUGGUGUAGCGGUGAAAUGCGUAGAUAUCAGGAGGAACACCGGUGGCGAAGGCGGCCUGCUGGACUGCAACUGACGUUGAGGCCCGAAAGCGUGGGGAGCAAACAGGAUUAGAUACCCUUGUAGUC
rnacentral:rRNA from 1 species